GCGUUUACCUGGAGGCAGCGGCUUGGGCGCGCAGAGCGGCCGCGGCUCCCCCGCACCUGCGGCCAUGGAUGAGGAGCGCGCCCUCUACAUCGUCCGGGCCGGCGAAGCAGGGGCUAUCGAGCGGGUCCUGAGGGAUUACAGCGACAAGCAUAGGGCUACUUUCAAAUUUGAAUCAACAGAUGAAGAUAAAAGAAAGAAACUCUGUGAAGGCAUAUUUAAAGUCCUUAUAAAGGACAUCCCAACAACAUGUCAAGUGUCCUGCCUGGAAGUACUCCGCAUUCUCUCCAGAGACAAAAAGGUUUUAGUUCCUGUGACAACUAAGGAAAAUAUGCAGAUACUGCUGCGACUAGCCAAGCUAAAUGAGUUAGAUGAUUCUUUGGAGAAAGUAUCAGAGUUCCCAGUUAUUGUGGAGUCAUUAAAAUGUCUGUGUAAUAUAGUGUUCAACAGUCAGAUGGCACAGCAGCUCAGCCUGGAACUUAAUCUUGCUGCAAAGCUCUGUAACCUCCUGAGAAAGUGCAAGGACCGGAAAUUUAUCAAUGACAUUAAGUGCUUUGACUUGCGCUUGCUCUUCCUUCUGUCACUUUUGCACACCGACAUCAGGUCACAAUUGCGCUAUGAGCUCCAGGGACUACCGCUGCUAACGCAGAUCUUGGAAAGUGCCUUUAGCAUCAAGUGGACCGAUGAGUAUGAAUCGGCCAUAGACCAUAAUGGACCUCCUCUCUCACCUCAGGAGACAGACUGUGCCAUUGAGGCCCUCAAAGCUCUCUUCAAUGUGACGGUAGACAGUUGGAAGGUGCAUAAAGAGAGUGAUUCUCAUCAGUUCCGUGUAAUGGCAGCUGUCCUUCGUCAUUGUUUACUAAUCGUAGGUCCAACUGAAGACAAAACAGAAGAGCUACACAGCAAUGCAGUCAACCUUUUAAGCAAUGUUCCAGUCUCUUGUUUGGAUGUUCUCAUUUGUCCGUUAACCCAUGAAGAAACAGCCCAAGAGGCAACGACUCUAGAUGAACUGCCCAGUAAUAAAACAGCUGAGAAAGAAACAGUUUUGAAAAACAAUACCAUGGUAUACAAUGGUAUGAAUAUGGAGGCCAUUCAUGUUUUACUGAAUUUUAUGGAGAAGAGAAUAGACAAGGGAAGCAGCUAUAGAGAGGGUCUAACUCCAGUUCUCAGCUUAUUAACCGAAUGUUCCCGAGCCCAUCGAAACAUCCGAAAAUUUCUCAAAGAUCAGGUUUUACCACCGUUGAGGGAUGUGACAAAUCGACCUGAAGUUGGCUCAACUGUGAGAAAUAAGCUGGUGCGCCUCAUGACACAUGUUGACCUUGGAGUCAAGCAAAUUGCUGCUGAAUUCCUUUUUGUCCUUUGCAAAGAGAGAGUGGAUAGUCUGCUGAAAUACACUGGCUAUGGGAAUGCUGCAGGACUGUUGGCGGCCAGGGGCCUCUUGGCUGGAGGAAGAGGAGAUAAUUGGUACUCAGAGGAUGAGGACACAGACACUGAAGAAUACAAAAAUGCAAAACCAAACAUUAAUCUUAUCACUGGUCAUUUAGAGGAACCAAUGCCAAACCCCAUAGAUGAAAUGACAGAAGAACAAAAAGAAUAUGAAGCCAUGAAACUUGUCAACAUGCUUGAUAAACUUUCCAGGGGAAUCCACAUAUUCUAGAAGCUGCCAACAAAUAAAUAUACAAACGUCAAGUCUGAAAUACCCCAGCUUCCACCUGAUUUAAACUAUGCCUCAAAGAAGAUGCCUACUUAUCCGGAAGUACCCAGCAGAUGCCCAACUGAAGACCCUGUCAUUAAUUCCAUGUGUCAAUACUGCCCUGUAGUACACAGAGCAGACAAGAAAGAAGAGCCCUUGAAAACAAGGGAAUGAUUUUUGAGUCGUUAUCAAGCUAAGUGGCAAGCGGGAAGCUGAAACUCGUAUAGUUGAACAUUCUUGGAGGCUUAUCUCUUCCCUGGCCAGAUGCCUGAUCAGAUGAGAAGCCCGCCAUGAUACUGUCACAGUGCCUAGAAUGGGCUCUUUAUCCAGUAGACACCACUGUACUUUUUGAUACGAGGGCAGUCUUAACUUGUGUUAAGGCCUGUGUGUAGCAUUGAAGAUACUGGCAAAUCACAGCCUGAGAAGACAUGGACUCUGCCCUCAAGUUGCUCACAGUCUAGUACAGAACAAGAAAUCUCUGGAAAGCAUUAUACAGAAUUUCCUGUGGAAUGUUAAUCCUGUUUCUAACCCUGUAAAUCUUCGUGAUGAAAGUGAAUGUGUACCCAGAGAUUUAGCUUUUCUCUUCAUGGUUUAGUCAUUAGGAGUCCCAUUAGACACCAUACCUUUUCUCUUCAGGAAAAUGAAAGAUAAUAUCAAGUACAACUAAAUUUAAUUCACAAACACUUAUUGAGGAUCUGCUAUCUGCAAGGCACUGUGCUAGACACAUAGGGAUAUGAAAAUUGAGUAAAGCAUAGACAUUCUCUUUUUAAAAUAUCAGAGCAGUAGUAUUUCAUAGCUCUCAAACUUUGUAAUGACAGUUAUUUUUAAUAUCCUUAGAAGUUGGGGGUGGGGGGUAUGCUCCUGAAAUAGAAAACAAGAAUACCUUUGUACUCAAGUCCAGACUUGUCAGCCUAGGAUUCAAGGUCUCCAUUCAAAUCCUCUUUUAUACCGCAUCUCUUUUGAGUUGUUUUUUUUUUUUUCCUUUAUCUCAGCCGAGCCAGCCUGCUUGCCAGUCCCUGCACACAACUAACUCUUGCUUCUGUGCCUCUGCUUGACUAAUUCUUCUGCUUCUGGGAUGCCUUUCUCCCUGUGAAUCCAUGUCCAUCACUGCCAUUACAGUCUGGCCCCUGAGUCCACCUACUGCAAGGAGCCUGUGGUCAGCAUCCCUGUCUCCUCCUGUGUCCCUCUCACAUGUGCAUAGCCAUACGACUGGUGAAGGAAUAUUUCUGUGGUGUUCAUUAAAGCUUCCCAUUCUCUGUCCACAUCUUGCUGAUCUAGAUACAACAGAUUGCAAAUGAAAUAGUCCCAGAUUAUAAAUGAGACAGUCCAAUAUAACCAGGUCAUUUACCAAGCCUUUUAGGAGUGAGUCUCUGUACCAAAUAUUUCAUUUUGAUAUUUGUGGGCCACUAGUUGAAGGAUAGAGGAAGAAGAUGAGAAAAGUUAGGAUGGGGGUAUGAGAAAUAAGCCUGGGGUCAAUUAGAACAAACAGUCACACAUCUGUAAAUGAUCCUCUCCUUCUACUCCCAGACAGGACAAGAAAUCUCCUUUAAACCAACUUCAAAUACAGUAAGGGUGUAUUGACAAAUUUUAAAGCUUAAAGAAAGCAGGGCUCUCUGCCUGUUAAUCAUCUCAAGCUUGUUGAUCUGCUGUUCUGUAACUCUUUCAAUAUUGUUUAAUGUGUGUGUGUUUUCUGAACUGACUAAAAGCUUCUUGAGGACAGGGACCAUGUCUUUUAUUUGCCUCUGCAUAUUCUUCCCCCACUUAAUCCCUAACUAGCAUGGGAAAACCUUCUGUAAGCACUUAAGGGACAGGAACGACAAUUUGUGGGUUCUAACUACAUUCCAGCCUAAUGUUAUACUAUACACUUUGUAUGUAUAGUAGCCUUUUGCCCUCAUCACAACUUAGUGUGAGGUAUGUGUUCCUGUCCUAAUUCUACAGAGAAGGAAAUUGGAAUUCAGUGAGUUCAUGUUCUUACAGCUAGUGACUGGUCGAUCCAGAAUUAGAGCACAGGUCCGUCUGACUCCAAAACCUAUAUGUGCUUUUCACUAUACCACAAUAACAACGAAUAUUUGUUCUGUACAAUUCACAACUCUUUGGUCUACCUUAUUAUUAUUAUUAUUAUUACUACCACUACUUACAUCUUCACUAGUCAGUAGGUACAGCCAAGAUUAUCACGACCCCCAUUUCACUGGUAGGGAAACUGAGACUCGGAAGCUUGCCCAAGAUCACACAGCUGGUAAGUGGAGGAGAACCAGGACUUCAGACAGACUUCCUGACUCCAGAUCUUUUUUUUCUUUCCAUGACAUCACAUUGCUGCCUUAAUUCAUUUGCACAAUGCAUGAUUGUAUGGCCAGUGUUCACUGACACCUUUCCUACAGAAGUAUCAAUGAGCCCAGGCAUUACGUAGAGCCAUGUGGAGAAGAAAAUAAUUCAUACCUUCAGAGGAGCUUCCAUUUUAGUGGGGGUUGAUACAAAGCACCCAGAAAGUAAAUGCUUGAGAAUAGUUCACAAGUAAGAAUUAAAAUAUAGGCCCGUUGUUCCAUAAUGAAAUCCUAUAAUUUGGCCAUAAAACUAAUAUUUUUAAUUAUUUGCAUAAUUGGAUUAGGGAGCAAGGGUAAAGCUGAUAGACUUAUUUGAAAAUAUUACUUCUGGGUUUAGAUGAGAAAGUGCUAGAUACUUCACACAAGUUAGUAGCUAGCCCCAGAAUCAUCUUUUUAUCAAAGAGAUGCAGUAGUUUUAGUCUCAGGAGUGAUGGUAUAUCCACCCAGCAGUUUAUCACUCAGUCCCAUCUGCCAAUCCUACUUUUACCUAUCCCUACCCUUCAGUCCCCACCCCACACCUGAGUUUACCAACCCCUUCAGACCCUCAGUGUUUCAUUCCCAGCAGGUUCUCCCUCUUCUCCUUUUGCUUCAGUUGUUAAUAUGUAGUGUCCAACAUCACAAAGUCCUUUAGCACAAUCAGAACUAGGAAUUUAUUUAAAAUAUAGGUAUGUAAUUUACGUCAGUGCUAGAGAGAAGUUUUAAUGGAAACGUUGUUUCUAGCUCUCCACUGAACAUUUCUACAUGGUUGUCAUGUAGGCACCUCAAGCCCUUCAAGUCCUAAAAUAUAUCAGAAUCUCCCCACCAAAUCUCCAUCUCCUAUGUCCUGGCCCCAUUGAAUAGAGUCACCAUCCACUUGGUCAUCUGAGCUGAAACAACAGGAACUCUCUACUUACUACUCUCAUUCUCCAACCCCUUUUCCUCCCAGUGAGUCAUGAGAUCUACCUCAGAAAUGUUGCCUUUUCUUCCCACAACCUCAGACUUAAUCCAGCUGUCUGUCUCCUCCCCCACACACUAUUAUGAUGACCCCCCUAAUGACUUGUCUAUCUGCCACCAAUUCCAAUGUGUCUAUCAUGCUGCUGCCAGAGGUACUUUCUUAUAAAACAAACGUAAUCAAACACUCUUUAUAGGGUAAAAUCUAAACUCCUUAUUUUGGCAUUUAAGACAUUUUUGACUAUUGCAUCCCAAACUACCCUUGCAGCCUUACCUCCUGCCCCUCCUUCAUUGAACCUCACCAUUCCCCAAACACUGGGCCCUUUCCCGGCUUCAUGAGAGCACAGAGAUAGAAAAGAUGAGCUGACACAAUCCAAAAAGGUUUAAAAAGAUAGAGAAUCACACACGUCAGUGGGACCAUUCAGAGCUCUUUACAGUCUCUUUUAUCUGAAAUGCUCUGUGCCCAUCUGCCUAGUGCAGGGCCACUCACUGACACCUCACUUGACAGUGCCCUCCCCAGGCAGCCUGGUCAGUGCUUCAUCUCAGGAGCUGCCUCACUUCUUUGUUCAUAAUUCUCUUACAGCAUUUACCUCAUUCUGCUCAAAAUGACUUUUGCAUAUAUUUGUUUUCCGUGCUCCUCAAAGGCAGCAGCUGUACCCAGUCUUCCUUACCUCCCAGUAUAUGACAUAGUUCCUGUCACAUAGUCAUUGAACAGAUGUUGAAGACAUGAACUCAGUGUGCUCCUCCAAUGCAGUUAGGGCAAUUAAUCCAGAUGUGGUGGGCUGCAAAGAUCACUGGACUAGGAUUCAGGAGACCCAUGUCCCAGGUCCAGCUCUGCCACUAGAUAAGUGACCUUGGAUGAGUCAUUCAGUCUCCUUUAUUAAAGAAGGGGGUUGGACUAAAUGAUCUCUCAGACCCCUUCCAACUUUAAGUUCUAUGAUUCUGACCCCAUUUCUUGGAUUGGGAAACACAUUUCCUCCCUCAUAGUAUUCAGGAGCCUCAAUUUAGCCUGUCAGACGUUCACAUUUCCCAAGCAAAGCUUUCAAACACUUCGAAGUUGUCUACUGAGCUAGCCAGAGCUCUUCAUUAGGCUCCUGUUGGCUUAUCCAUUGACCACUGAGCUGUUCUCACUCCUCCCCAGGAGAUUUCACUGUGUCUGUAACACCAUUACACUACUGUGUGGCUGCCCCUUCCCAGGAGGGAGCCCUUCUUUCUGUUGGCCUAAGGGACAACUGUGAGGAGGGAGUCAUUUCCCCUCCAUCCAAAUCCCACCAACAUUAUAGCUGCUGCCAUGUGGGUUUUUGCUUAUGGACAUGUUUUUGGGGGGUGAUGCCCAUUUCUGUGAUAAAUAAGUUUUAAGCAGUUCAUGGGGCUCUUCAAGGCCACUCUUAAGUACACUGCUGACCUUUCUAGGGAUGGGAGGACUGGAGUUAGCAACUCAACAGGUACAUUCACCAUAAUCUCCAUGUAAUAAAUAAGAGCCUAUGAAAAGAUUAAAUAAAUCUUUCCUAAUGCUUUUUGACUGGCUUAAUCAAUAAUUAAUCAUCUUUAGAUGAGGCUGUAACUUGUGGAGUAGAUAUAAUUGGAUUAGCUGAAAAGCGGCAGUUGCGGAGCUUUGAAGAGAUUAAAAUGGCUGUCAAUCCCAUAAUUAAACUGCCACAAACAAAAGCAAUGGUGUUUUUUAGAAAGGAGGAGGAGGAGGAAAGAAAGAGUGAAAGAGAGAGAGAGAAGGAAAGAAAAGUCGGGGAGAGAGUUGGGGAAGGCCAACUAAUUUGAAAUGAAUCAACAUGUACUUACAUAUCACUAGAGACUGAGGCAAAA